CGGUGCGAUCAUACUAGCGUUAAUGCACCGGAUCCCAUCAGAACUUCGCAGUUAAGCACGCUUGGGCCAAAGUAGUACUGGGAUGGGUGACCUCCGGGGAAGUCCUGGUGUUGCACCCU
rfam:Picea glauca, whole genome shotgun sequence.